rnacentral:rRNA from 1 species
CUACGGGGGGCUGCAGUGGGGAAUAUUGCACAAUGGGCGCAAGCCUGAUGCAGCCAUGCCGCGUGUAUGAAGAAGGCCUUCGGGUUGUAAAGUACUUUCAGCGGGGAGGAAGGGAGUAAAGUUAAUACCUUUGCUCAUUGACGUUACCCGCAGAAGAAGCACCGGCGAACUCCGUGCCAGCAGCCGCGGUAAUACGGAGGGUGCAAGCGUUAAUCGGAAUUACUGGGCGUAAAGCGCACGCAGGCGGUUUGUUAAGUCAGAUGUGAAAUCCCCGGGCUCAACCUGGGAACUGCAUCUGAUACUGGCAUGCUUGAGUCUCGUAGGGGGGGGUAGAAUUCCAGGUGUAGCGGUGAAAUGCGUAGAGAUCUAGAGGAAUACCGGUGGCGAAGGCGGCCCCCUGGACGAAGACUGACGCUCAGGUGCGAAAGCGUGGGGAGCAAACAGGAUUAGAUACCCCUGUAGUC